UGCAGUAGACGCUGAGAGAGGAGCUUGCUCUUCUUGGAUGAGUUGCGAACGGGUGAGUAACGCGUAGGUAACCUGCCUUGUAGCGGGGGAUAACUAUUGGAAACGAUAGCUAAUACCGCAUAACAAUGGAUGACUCAUGUCAUUUAUUUGAAAGGGGCAAAUGCUCCACUACAAGAUGGACCUGCGUUGUAUUAGCUAGUAGGUGAGGUAACGGCUCACCUAGGCGACGAUACAUAGCCGACCUGAGAGGGUGAUCGGCCACACUGGGACUGAGACACGGCCCAGACUCCUACGGGAGGCAGCAGUAGGGAAUCUUCGGCAAUGGGGGCAACCCUGACCGAGCAACGCCGCGUGAGUGAAGAAGGUUUUCGGAUCGUAAAGCUCUGUUGUAAGUCAAGAACGAGUGUGAGAGUGGAAAGUUCACACUGUGACGGUAGCUUACCAGAAAGGGACGGCUAACUACGUGCCAGCAGCCGCGGUAAUACGUAGGUCCCGAGCGUUGUCCGGAUUUAUUGGGCGUAAAGCGAGCGCAGGCGGUUUGAUAAGUCUGAAGUUAAAGGCUGUGGCUCAACCAUAGUUCGCUUUGGAAACUGUCAAACUUGAGUGCAGAAGGGGAGAGUGGAAUUCCAUGUGUAGCGGUGAAAUGCGUAGAUAUAUGGAGGAACACCGGUGGCGAAAGCGGCUCUCUGGUCUGUAACUGACGCUGAGGCUCGAAAGCGUGGGGAGCGAACAGGAUUAGAUA
rnacentral:rRNA from 1 species